rnacentral:rRNA from 1 species
GACGAACGCUGGCGGCGUGCCUAAUACAUGCAAGUUGAGCGCUGAAGGUUGGUACUUGUACCAACUGGAUGAGCAGCGAACGGGUGAGUAACGCGUGGGGAAUCUGCCUUUGAGCGGGGGACAACAUUUGGAAACGAAUGCUAAUACCGCAUAAAAACUUUAAACACAAGUUUUAAGUUUGAAAGAUGCAAUUGCAUCACUCAAAGAUGAUCCCGCGUUGUAUUAGCUAGUUGGUGAGGUAAAGGCUCACCAAGGCGAUGAUACAUAGCCGACCUGAGAGGGGGAUCGGCCACAUUGGGACUGAGACACGGCCCAAACUCCUACGGGAGGCAGCAGUAGGGAAUCUUCGGCAAUGGACGAAAGUCUGACCGAGCAACGCCGCGUGAGUGAAGAAGGUUGUCGGAUCGUAAAACUCUGUUGGUAGAGAAGAACGUUGGUGAGAGUGGAAAGCUCAUCAAGUGACGGUAACUACCCAGAAAGGGACGGCUAACUACGUG